AGGCAUCAUUCCCAUCAGGCAAUGCUUCUUGUGAAAAGCAAACCCAGAACUGGUGUGUGUUUUUUAUAGGGCAGCUGUAACCAACACCUCCAAUCUCAUCUCUUUGAUUGGACUCCAGUUGGCUGACAUCUCACUCCAAUUAGCUCUUGGAGAUGUCAUUAGUCUAGGGGUUCACAUACCUUUUCCAUCUGCACUGUGAAUGUUUACAUGGUGUGUUCAAUAAAAACAUGGCAACAUUUCGUUCUUUG